rnacentral:rRNA from 1 species
UAGCCGUAAACGAUACUCGCUAGGUGUCGGCCACGGUGCGACCGUUGUCGGUGCCGUAGGGAAGCCGUGAAGCGAGCCACCUGGGAAGUACGGCCGCAAGGCUGAAACUUAAAGGAAUUGGCGGGGGAGCACAACAACGGGUGGAGCUUGCGGUUUAAUUGGAUUCAACGCCGAAAAACUCACCAGGAGCGACAUAUGAUAGUCGGGCUGAAGACUCUACUUGAUGAUCUGAGAGGUGGUGCAUGGCGUCAGUGACU